rnacentral:rRNA from 1 species
GGGGAAUAUUGGACAAUGGGGGCAACCCUGAUCCAGCGACGCCGCGUGUGUGAAGAAGGCCUGCGGGUUGUAAAGCACUUUUAGUGGGGAUGAAAAGCACAUUGCUAAUACCAGCGUGUCUUGACCUAACCCAAAGAAAAAGCACCGGCUAACUCUGUGCCAGCAGCCGCGGUAAUACAGAGGGUGCGAGCGUUAAUCGGAAUUACUGGGCGUAAAGCGUGCGCAGGCGGUGAUGUAAGACAGGUGUGAAAUCCCCGGGCUUAACCUGGGAACUGCAUUUGUGACUGCAUCGCUAGAGUGCGGCAGAGGGGGAUGGAAUUCCGCGUGUAGCAGUGAAAUGCGUAGAUAUGCGGAGGAACACCGAUGGCGAAGGCAAUCCCCUGGGCCUGCACUGACGCUCAUGCACGAAAGCGUGGGGAGCAAA